AAGCACAGGACUGCGUCUCUCACCACCACAGCCAGGCAGCUGCUCUUCUAGCUUCUGAUUAUCAUCCCCAAGCCAUGCCUUGGUCAUUUCUGAGUUGAACAAAAUCAUGGAAGAUGUGACUGUCAAGUGGAGACAUCGAGCCUUUCUGCUGCCCUCAGCAUCUCCCAGCAGCCUCUCUGGUUCAAGACUUUCUUUGUCUCUAGAAGUUGCUCCAGGAUCCCAGACUGUAUUGCUAAGCCAUUGCCAACGAUUUGCACUUCUGUCGUCCCUUUCAUCUGGGAACCACAAGGCCAUCUGAAACUUCUCUGAUCAGCUUCAGAGGAGUCCCCUCUAUCAGUUAAGAAUUGUACUCUACACUGAGAAGCAGGUAUUGCAUUUGUUGGUCGCAAGGAUAAUCCCCCAAAUUCCCACAGCAUCCAGAUGAAGUUGUCUACUGUCCACAGGAUGUUCAGCAAAGACACCGGGAUGUAUUUGCCUGAAGAAGAACGGAAGAGAACUGAAAAGAGACAUCUAAGGUAACAAGUCACACUGCAGCAGAUCGGAGCCAUGAAUUCAUGCUGUGUCUAAUGAUCCAGGGAUGAGUCCGCAGGGAAGUAAGGGCCAAUGCUGAGAAAGAAAACUACUACAACCAUCUCUUAUUUAAUUAGGACUGAGUUCACACCGGGCCAUUGGGUGGACUCAGCCUCCCGGAAGUCAGCUCCCGGAAGUCUGAUGGCUGUGCGCCAGUGCUCUGCAUUUAAGCCAAGCUUGGCUACAAACCUGAUAAAAAUGAAAUUC
rnacentral:lncRNA from 1 species